GCAAAAUUGGAUAAAAUGCGGAAAGAGAAACAAACGAAAAGAGAAGAGAAUAAAAAGGGAGGGAGACAAAGAAAAGACACUGAGACUUUAUUUGCCUACCAAACAAGAGAAUUAAGGAAGAAUGAAAUUGAGAUUUAGAGUUGAAGACUUACCUGGCAGUGAAUUAUUUCUAUUUUUUCCUAUUAUUUAGAAACGACACUUAGGGUGUACGAACACUACUAUAUAUCAUUGUACAAAAAGCUAUAAGAAGUGUACUAUAGAGAGAUACGAACACUGCUUAUAAGAUGUACCAAAAAUUUAAUUUGUGUACUUUUUUCUACCACGUGUUAAAACUUAUUAUGUGAGAACUAGUUUACACUGUCCACUAAUUCAUUUUCAGUUCAACUUUUCAAUUGUCACCGUUUUCUUUCUUCCCCAUACUUCUGGACUUUGCAAUUCCAUAGAGAAACACCAUUGUUCCUCUCUGGAUCUGAAUCAUUUUUUACUAUUAGCUUUCAUGUCAAGAUACUCAGAUGGCAAUUAAUUUACUUUCUUUCUUUCAAGUUUUAGUUUUUAAAAGUAUUGCAUACCCUUACCCGAAAGAUUUGUUGUGCUAAUGUAAGAUCUUCUCAUCAAUUUGGAGCUUGAUGAGUGCAGGUGCACUUUGUAAGCCUUAUUUAGAAGCAUCAGUGGAAAAAUCUUCCAUUUUGUGACAUUGCUUCAAAGCUAAUUCCUCCAGCAAAGGGUUGAUCAACUUGACAACAUCUGGACACAGCGAUGGCAAGCAGUACUCCUAUUUUGGGAUCUCUUCGUGGAGGGCUAACCAUUGGGAGCUAAGGAGGAUGAAGUAACAAAGAUGGUAUGCAGGUUAUUCAAUUUUUUUUUUUUGGCAGCCUCAAUGUUCCCAUUUACCGGUACUUCAAAAUACCUCCUUGCUAUGUGGUUUUUGGAAUAGCAAAGGUUGGCUACUAGGCUAGGGGAUUGUAGCUCCUGCUCACAUGAAAUGAUGAAUGAAGAUGUACUUGAGGAUGUCAAGCUCCAGCUCUUUUGAAAUGAUAAAUGAAGAUGUACUUGAAGAUGUCAUUUGAAUAUAGUUCUGCUCAACAAUGAAUAAAGAAUUGCAAAAAUGAAGAAGUUGGAGCUUAAUUGGAUGAAAAGUGUACACAUCAUAGAAGAGGAAGAUCACAAAAAGGAAAAGUAAACGUGUUGACUCCAAGAAUAUUUCAGAGAGGAUAUCAAGAAAAACAUAAACUGUGAUUUAUCCUUGUUAUAAAAGGAAUUGUACAUUAUUCUGGAAGAAUUAGAACUCCUACACAUAAAAGGAAAGAAGGGGGCUGCUACACUUUAUUAUGCAAGCUGGCAGAUUCACGUGGAACAAGGAAACUUACAAGGUAUUGAAUCCUAAUAUAAUUUGGAGUGAGAAUUAACCAAGAGAAAGAAAAGAGGGUUUAUUUGUGUUAUAAAAGGAAGCAGAUGUACGUGACUGGAAGGGAUUCAUUCGCGUUGGAAUGCAACAGACGCUGCUGUACGUGAACUUAUUCAUGUUGGAGAAGCAACUACGCAGCUACACACAGGCUUCGACACCGAAGUAUCAGGCCGGAUCUACUUCUCUGACUCGUGGCUGAUCGACUCCUCAGCUGCUACUUGAGUUUUCCAGGGUGAGCAUAGCGUCCGCUGACCUCGAAGACUCUUCUAUUGUUUAUGUCUUAUUUUUCUUUCAAGAUAUGAUUUGAGACAUUUUAUGUAUUAUUAUUCGGACCGCAGUUAUUCGGAU